AUUGAACGCUGGCGGCAUGCCUUACACAUGCAAGUCGAACGGUAACGGGUCUUCGGAUGCUGACGAGUGGCGAACGGGUGAGUAAUACAUCGGAACGUGCCUAGUAGUGGGGGAUAACUACUCGAAAGAGUGGCUAAUACCGCAUGAGAUCUACGGAUGAAAGCAGGGGAUCGCAAGACCUUGUGCUACUAGAGCGGCCGAUGGCAGAUUAGGUAGUUGGUGGGAUAAAAGCUUACCAAGCCGACGAUCUGUAGCUGGUCUGAGAGGACGAUCAGCCACAAUGGGACUGGGAAACGGCCAAGACUCCUACGGGAGGCAGCAGUGGGGAAUUUUGGACAAUGGGCGCAAGCCUGAUCCAGCAAUGCCGCGUGCAGGAUGAAGGCCUUCGGGUUGUAAACUGCUUUUGUACGGAACGAAAAGCCCCGGGUUAAUACCCUGGGGUCAUGACGGUACCGUAAGAAUAAGCACCGGCUAACUACGUGCCAGCAGCCGCCGUAA
rnacentral:rRNA from 1 species